UACGUAGGCAGCGAGCGUUGUUCGGAGUUACUGGGCGUAAAGCGUGCGUAGGCGGUGGUCCAAGUCUGGUGUGAAAUCUCCCGGCUUAACUGGGAGGGUGCGCCGGAAACUGGGCCGCUGGAGUACGGGAGAGGCAAGCGGAAUUCCAGGUGUAGCGGUGAAAUGCGUAGAUAUCUGGAGGAACACCCGUGGUGCAGACGGCUUGCUGGACCGUGACUGACGCUGAAGCACGAAAGCGUGGGUAGCAAACAGG
rnacentral:rRNA from 1 species